CGCGCGUAGGUGGUUUGUUAAGUUGGAUGUGAAAUCCCCGGGCUCAACCUGGGAACUGCAUUCAAAACUGACUGACUAGAGUAUGGUAGAGGGUGGUGGAAUUUCCUGUGUAGCGGUGAAAUGCGUAGAUAUAGGAAGGAACACCAGUGGCGAAGGCGACCACCUGGACUGAUACUGACACUGUUUUAGGUGCGAAAGCGUGGGGAGCAAACAGGAUUAGAUACCCUGGU
rnacentral:rRNA from 1 species